GACGAACGCUGGCGGCGUGCCUAAUACAUGCAAGUAGAACGCACAGUUUAUACCGUAGCUUGCUACACCAUAGACUGUGAGUUGCGAACGGGUGAGUAACGCGUAGGUAACCUGCCUGGUAGCGGGGGAUAACUAUUGGAAACGAUAGCUAAUACCGCAUAAUAUUAAUUAUUGCAUGAUAAUUAAUUGAAAGGUGCAAUUGCACCACUACCAGAUGGACCUGCGUUGUAUUAGCUAGUAGGUGAGGUAACGGCUCACCUAGGCGACGAUACAUAGCCGACCUGAGAGGGUGAUCGGCCACACUGGGACUGAGACACGGCCCAGACGCCUACGGGAGGCAGCAGUAGGGAAUCGUCGGCAAGGGACGAAAGUCUGACCGAGCAACGCCGCGUGAGUGAAGAAGGUUGUCGGAUCGUAAAGCUCGGUUGUAAGAGAAGAACGGGUGUGAGAGUGGAAAGUUCACAGUGUGACGGUAUCUUACCAGAAAGGGACGGCUAACUACGUG
rnacentral:rRNA from 1 species